rnacentral:rRNA from 1 species
AGUGAACGCUGGCGGUAGGCCUAACACAUGCAAUUCGAACGGCAGCACAGUAAGAGCUUGCUCUUACGGGUGGCGAGUGGCGGACGGGUGAGGAAUACAUCGGAAUCUACUUUUUCGUGGGGGAUAACGUAGGGAAACUUACGCUAAUACCGCAUACGACCUACGGGUGAAAGCAGGGGAUCUUCGGACCUUGCGCGAUUGAAUGAGCCGAUGUCGGAUUAGCUAGUUGGCGGGGUAAAGGCCCACCAAGGCGACGAUCCGUAGCUGGUCUGAGAGGAUGAUCAGCCACACUGGAACUGAGACACGGUCCAGAAUCAUACGGGAGGCAGCAGUGGGGAAUAUUGGACAAUGGGCGCAAGCCUGAUCCAGCCAUACCGCGUGGGUGAAGAAGGCCUUCGGGUUGUAAAGCCCUUUUGUUGAGAAAGAAAAGCAGCAGGUUAAUACCCCGCUGUUCUGACGGUACACAAAGAAUAAGCACCGGCUAACUUCGUG